GUGUCCCCUUCCAGUUUCAGGAAAUCAAUUUAGUUGAUUCUUGCCAGAAUUCGAAACAAAACAAAACAACAACAAAAGAAGCCAAAACAAAUCACUAAAGAGAAACAGAACGGGAAUGACCAGACUCGCCUGCAUGAUUGGAGGCUCCUGGACUGGGAGGGACAGAACAGGUGCCAGCAUGGAGCUCUGGAAUAUGUGCUUGAGAAAUGUCAAAGAUUAAGAACUCAAAUGCAUAAAGCAUAAUGACCAUUGGUUAAUGGACUAAUAACCAGCAAAAACCUGUCUCUAGUUACCCGCAGAACUAUUUGAACACGACAAACAUUUAAUUUGCCAGAUGGCUCCUCCUUCUUCCCGGAUCUAAGGUACCCAAGACUGCCCCUGUGCCUGCUUCCUCGCUGUCUGCUCUAGGAGCUCUGGCUCCCUUGCUCAUCCCAG